rnacentral:tRNA from 1 species
GAAUAGGUGGCUGAGAGGCGAAAGCACCAGACUGUAAAUCUGGCACGUAAGAUACACCGUAGGUUCAACUCCUACCCUAUUCA